ACGGUGAAGCUCCAGCUUGCUGGAUUGGAUCAGUGGCGAACGGGUGAGUAACACGUGAGCAACCUGCCCCAGACUCUGGAAUAAGCGCUGGAAACGGCGUCUAAUACUGGAUACGAGACCAACCUGCAUGGGUAUGGUUUGGAAAGUUUUUCGGUUUGGGAUGGGCUCGCGGCCUAUCAGCUUGUUGGUGAGGUAAUGGCUCACCAAGGCGACGACGGGUAGCCGGCCUGAGAGGGCGACCGGCCACACUGGGACUGAGACACGGCCCAGACUCCUACGGGAGGCAGCAGUGGGGAAUAUUGCACAAUGGGCGAAAGCCUGAUGCAGCGACGCCGCGUGAGGGAUGACGGCCUUCGGGUUGUAAACCUCUUUCAGCAGGGAAGAAGCGAAAGUGACGGUACCUGCAGAAGAAGCACCGGCUAACUACGUGCCAGCAGCCGCGGUAAUACGUAGGGUGCGAGCGUUGUCCGGAAUUAUUGGGCGUAAAGAGCUUGUAGGCGGUUUGUCGCGUCUGCUGUGAAAAUCCGGGGCUCAACCCCGGACUUGCAGUGGGUACGGGCAGACUAGAGUAUGGUAGGGGAGACUGGAAUUCCUGGUGUAGCGGUGAAAUGCGCAGAUAUCAGGAGGAACACCGAUGGCGAAGGCAGGUCUCUGGGCCAUUACUGACGCUGAGAAGCGAAAGCAUGGGGAGCGAACAGGAUUAGAUACCCUGGUAGUCCAUGCCGUAAACGUUGGGAACUAGGUGUGGGUCUCAUUCCACGAGAUCCGUGCCGCAGCUAACGCAUUAAGUUCCCCGCCUGGGGAGUACGGCCGCAAGGCUAAAACUCAAAGGAAUUGACGGGGGCCCGCACAAGCGGCGGAGCAUGCGGAUUAAUUCGAUGCAACGCGAAGAACCUUACCAAGGCUUGACAUAUACCGGAAACUUCCAGAGAUGGUUGCCCCUUUUAGGUCGGUAUACA
rnacentral:rRNA from 1 species